rnacentral:rRNA from 1 species
AUUGAACGCUGGCGGCAGGCCUAACACAUGCAAGUCGAGCGGAGCGGCGGACGGGUGAGUAAUGCCUAGGAAUCUGCCUGGUAGUGGGGGAUAACGUCCGGCAACGGGCGCUAAUACCGCAUACUAUCAGAUGAGCCUAGGUCGUAUUAGCUAGUUGGUGGGGUAAAGGCCUACCAAGGCGACGAUCCGUAACUGGUCUGAGAGGAGGAUCAGUCACAUGGGAACGGGGACACGGUCCAGACUCCUACGGGAGGCAGCAGGGGGGAAUAUUGGACAAUGGGCGAAAGCCUGAGCCAGCAAGGCCGGGUGUGUGAAGAAGGUCUUCGGAUGGUAAAGCACUUUAAGUUGGGAGGCGUUACCAACAGAGUAAGCACCGGCUAACUACGUGCCAGCAGCCGCGGUAAUUC